rnacentral:rRNA from 1 species
ACCCGGUGAUCUAGCCAUGGGCAGGUUGAAGGUUGGGUAACACUAACUGGAGGACCGAACCGACUAAUGUUGAAAAAUUAGCGGAUGACUUGUGGCUGGGGGUGAAAGGCCAAUCAAACCGGGAGAUAGCUGGUUCUCCCCGAAAGCUAUUUAGGUAGCGCCUCGUGAAUUCAUCUUCGGGGGUAGAGCACUGUUUCGGCUAGGGGGUCAUCCCGACUUACCAACCCGAUGCAAACUACGAAUACCGAAGAAUGUUAUCACGGGAGACACACGGCGGGUGCUAACGUCCGUCGUGAAGAGGGAAACAACCCAGACCGCCAGCUAAGGUCCCAAAGUCAUGGUUAAGUGGGAAACGAUGUGGGAAGGCACAGACAGCCAGGAUGUUGGCUUAGAAGCAGCCAUCAUUUAAAGAAAGCGUAAUAGCUCACUGGUCGAGUCGGCCUGCGCGGAAGAUGUAACGGGGCUAAACCAUGCACCGAAGCUGCGGCAGCGACACUAUGUGUUGUUGGGUAGGGGAGCGUUCUGUAAGCCUGCGAAGGUGUGCUGUGAGGCAUGCUGGAGGUAUCAGAAGUGCGAAUGCUGACAUAAGUAACGAUAAAGCGGGUGAAAAGCCCGCUCGCCGGAAGACCAAGGGUUCCUGUCCAACGUUAAUCGGGGCAGGGUGAGUCGACCCCUAAGGCGAGGCCGAAAGGCGUAGUCGAUGGGAAACAGGUUAAUAUUCCUGUACUUGGUGUUACUGCGAAGGGGGGACGGAGAAGGCUAUGUUAGCCGGGCGACGGUUGUCCCGGUUUAAGCAUGUAGGCUGGUUGUCCAGGCAAAUCCGGAUAAUCAAGGCUGAGGUGUGAUGACGAGGCACUACGGUGCUGAAGUAACAAAUGCCCUGCUUCCAGGAAAAGCCUCUAAGCAUCAGGUAACAUCAAAUCGUACCCCAAACCGACACAGGUGGUCAGGUAGAGAAUACCAAGGCGCUUGAGAGAACUCGGGUGAAGGAACUAGGCAAAAUGGUGCCGUAACUUCGGGAGAAGGCACGCUGGUGUGUAGGUGAAGUCCCUGCGGAUGGAGCUGAGACCAGUCGAAGAUACCAGCUGGCUGCAACUGUUUAUUAAAAACACAGCACUGUGCAAACACGAAAGUGGACGUAUACGGUGUGACGCCUGCCCGGUGCCGGAAGGUUAAUUGAUGGGGUUAUCCGUAAGGAGAAGCUCUUGAUCGAAGCCCCGGUAAACGGCGGCCGUAACUAUAACGGUCCUAAGGUAGCGAAAUUCCUUGUCGGGUAAGUUCCGACCUGCACGAAUGGCGUAAUGAUGGCCAGGCUGUCUCCACCCGAGACUCAGUGAAAUUGAACUCGCUGUGAAGAUGCAGUGUACCCGCGGCAAGACGGAAAGACCCCGUGAACCUUUACUAUAGCUUGACACUGAACAUUGAGCCUUGAUGUGUAGGAUAGGUGGGAGGCUUUGAAGCGUGGACGCCAGUCUGCGUGGAGCCAACCUUGAA